rnacentral:rRNA from 1 species
GUGGGGAAUUUUGGACAAUGGGCGCAAGCCUGAUCCAGCAAUGCCGCGUGCAGGAAGAAGGCCUUCGGGUUGUAAACUGCUUUUGUACGGAACGAAAAGCCUCUGGUUAAUACCCGGGGGUCAUGACGGUACCGUAAGAAUAAGCACCGGCUAACUACGUGCCAGCAGCCGCGGUAAUACGUAGGGUGCGAGCGUUAAUCGGAAUUACUGGGCGUAAAGCGUGCGCAGGCGGUGAUGUAAGACAGUUGUGAAAUCCCCGGGCUCAACCUGGGAACUGCAUCUGUGACUGCAUUGCUGGAGUGCGGCAGAGGGGGAUGGAAUUCCGCGUGUAGCAGUGAAAUGCGUAGAUAUGCGGAGGAACACCGACGGCGAAGGCAAUCCCCUGGGCCUGCACUGACGCUCAUGCACGAAAGCGUGGGGAGCAAACAGGAUUAGAUACCCUAGUAGUCC